rnacentral:rRNA from 1 species
UCUCUUACCCAUGUCUUUUGAGUACCUUCGUUUCCUCGGCGGGUUCGCCCGCCGAUUGGACAAUUUAAACCAUUUGCAGUUGCAAUCAGCGUCUGAAAAAACAUAAUAGUUACAACUUUCAACAACGGAUCUCUUGGUUCUGGCAUCGAUGAAGAACGCAGCGAAAUGCGAUAAGUAGUGUGAAUUGCAGAAUUCAGUGAAUCAUCGAAUCUUUGAACGCACAUUGCGCCCCUUGGUAUUCCAUGGGGCAUGCCUGUUCGAGCGUCAUUUGUACCUUCAAGCUCUGCUUGGUGUUGGGUGUUUGUCUCGCCUCUGCGCGUAGACUCGCCUCAAAACAAUUGGCAGCCGGCGUAUUGAUUUCGGAGCGCAGUACAUCUCGCGCUUUGCAUUCAGAACGACGACGUCCAA